UACGGGGGGGGCAAGCGUUGUUCGGAAUUACUGGGCGUAAAGGGCUCGUAGGCGGCCAACUAAGUCGGUCGUGAAAUCCCCGGGCUCAACCCGGGAACUGCGUCCGAUACUGGCAGGCUUGAAUCCGGGAGAGGGAUGCGGAAUUCCAGGUGUAGCGGUGAAAUGCGUAGAUAUCUGGAGGAACACCGGUGGCGAAGGCGGCAUCCUGGACCGGCAUUGACGCUGAGGCGCGAAAGCCAGGGGAGCAAACGGG
rnacentral:rRNA from 1 species